CAUGGACACAGGCUUAUUAUCAUUGUUGCUGUUAUUAUCUGCUGGAAUGCACAGAGCUCUCACAGUGUUCCAGGCACUAAGCAUUUGCUAGGCACAUCAGCCAUUGACAGACAUUGGCUGUUCAUUGGGAUCGGAACUCUAGUUUGCUUCAUUCCUACUUCACAACUGCCAUAGCCAGUGGUCACAGGAAAGGCUCUUCCCAACGAAAAAUCAAAAGUAGGGUCUCCCUCUGAUGCCGAGCCAAGGCUGGACGGUGCUGCUGCCAUCUCGGCUCACUGCAGCCUCCCUGCCUGAUUCUCCUGCCUCAGCCUGCUGAGUGCCUGCGAUUGCAGGCGCACGCCGCCACGCCUGACUGGUUUUCGUUUUUUUUUUGGUGGAGACGGGGUUUUGCUGUGUUGGCCGGGCUGGUCUCCAGCUCCUAGCCGCGAGUGAUCCGCCAGCCUCGGCCUCCCGGGGUGCCGGGAUUGCGGACGGAGUCUCGUUCACUCAGUGCUCAGUGGUGCCCAGGCUGGAGUGCAGUGGCGUGAUCUCGGCUCGCUACAGCCUCCACCUCCCAGCCGCCUGCCUUGGCCCCCCAAAGUGCCGAGAUUGCAGCCUCUGCCCAGCCGCCACCCCGUCUGGGAAGUGAGGAGCGUCUCUGCUUGGCCACCCAUCGUCUGGGAUAUGAGGAGCCUCUCUGCCUGGCUGCCCAGUCUGGAAAGUGAGGAGCGUCUCUGCCCGGCCGCCAUCCCAUCUAGGAAGCGAGGAGCGCCUCUUCCCCGCCGCCAUCCCAUCUAGGAAGUGAGGAGCGUCUCUGCCCGGCCGCCCAUCGUCUGAGAUGUGGGGAGCACCUCUGCCCCGCCGCCCUGUCUGGGAUGUGAGGAGCGCCUCUGCUGGCCGCAACCCUGUCUGGGAGGUGAAGAGCGUCUCUGCCCGGCCGCCCCGUCUGAGAAGUGAGGAAACCCUCUGCCUGGCAACCGCCCCGUCUGAGAAGUGAGGAGCCCCUCCGUCUGGCAGCCACCCCGUCUGGGAAGUGAGGAGCGUCUCCGCCCGGCAGCCACCCCGUCCGGGAGGGAGGUGGGGGGGGUCAGCCCCCCGCCCGGCCAGCCGCCCAGUCCGGGAGGGAGGUGGGGGGAUCAGCCCCCCGCCCGGCCAGCCGCCCCGUCCGGGAGGGAGGUGGGGGGGUCAGCCCCCCGCCUGGCCAGCCGCCCCAUCCGGGAGGGAGGUGGGGGGUCAGCCCCCCACCUGGCCAGCCGCCCCGUCCGGGAGGGAGGUGGGGGGGGUCAGCCCCCCGCCCGGCCAGCCGCCCCGUCCGGGAGGGAGGUGGGGGGAUCAGCCCCCCGCCUGGCCAGCCGCCCCGUCCGGGAGGUGAGGGGCGCCUCUGCCCAGCCGCCCCUACUGGGAAGUGAGGAGCCCCUCUGCCCGGCCAGCCGCCCCGUCCGGGAGGGAGGCGGGGGGGGGGUCGGCCAGCCGCCCUGUCCGGGAGGGAGGUGGGGGGGUCAGCCCCCCGCCCGGCCGGCCGCCCCGUCCGGGAGGUGAGGGGCGCCUCUGCCCGGCCGCCCCUACUGGGAAGUGAGGAGCCCCUCUGCCUGGCCAGCCGCCCCGUCCGGGAGGAUGGUGGGGGGGUCAGCCCCCCGCCCGGCCAGCCGCCCCAUCCGGGAGGUGAGGGGCGCUUCUGCCCGGCCGCCCCUACUGGGAAGUGAGGAGCCCCUCUGCCCGGCCACGACCCCGUAUGGGAGAUGUGCCCAGCGGCUCAUUGGGGAUGGGCCAUGAUGACAAUGGCGGUUUUGUGGAAUAGAAAGGCGGGAAGGGUGGGGAAAAAAUUGAGAAAUCAGAUGGUUGCCGGGUCUGUGUGGAUAGAAGUAGACAUGGGAGACUUUUCAUUUUGUUCUGUACUAAGAAAAAU
rnacentral:lncRNA from 1 species